rnacentral:rRNA from 1 species
GACGGGUUAGUAACGCGUGGGAACGUGCCCUUCUCUACGGAAUAGCCAUUGGAAACGAUGAGUAAUACCGUAUACGCCCUUCGGGGGAAAGAUUUAUCGGAGAAGGAUCGGCCCGCGUUAGAUUAGAUAGUUGGUGGGGUAACGGCCUACCAAGUCUACGAUCUAUAGCUGGUUUUAGAGGAUGAUCAGCAACACUGGGACUGAGACACGGCCCAGACUCCUACGGGAGGCAGCAGUGGGGAAUCUUAGACAAUGGGCGCAAGCCUGAUCUAGCCAUGCCGCGUGAGUGAUGAAGGCCUUAGGGUCGUAAAGCUCUUUCGCCAGGGAUGAUAAUGACAGUACCUGGUAAAGAAACCCCGGCUAACUCCGUGCCAGCAGCCGCGGUAAUACGGAGGGGGUUAGCGUUGUUCGGAAUUACUGGGCGUAAAGCGUACGUAGGCGGAUUAGAAAGUUAGGGGUGAAAUCCCAGGGCUCAACCCUGGAACUGCCUCUAAAACUACUAGUCUAGAGUUCGAGAGAGGUGAGUGGAACUCCGAGUGUAGAGGUGAAAUUCGUAGAUAUUCGGAAGAACACCAGUGGCGAAGGCGGCUCACUGGCUCGAUACUGACGCUGAGGUACGAAAGUGUGGGGAGCAAACAGGAUUAGAUACCCUGGUAGUCCACACCGUAAACGAUGAAUGCCAGUCGUCGGGCAGUAUACUGU